UUACACAUGCAAGUCGAACGAUGAUGCCCACUUGUGGGUGGAUUAGUGGCGAACGGGUGAGUAACACGUGAGUAACCUGCCCUUAACUCUGGGAUAAGCCUGGGAAACUGGGUCUAAUACCGGAUAUGACUCCUCAUCGCAUGGUGGGGGGUGGAAAGCUUUUUGUGGUUUUGGAUGGACUCGCGGCCUAUCAGCUUGUUGGUGAGGUAAUGGCUCACCAAGGCGACGACGGGUAGCCGGCCUGAGAGGGUGACCGGCCACACUGGGACUGAGACACGGCCCAGACUCCUACGGGAGGCAGCAGUGGGGAAUAUUGCACAAUGGGCGAAAGCCUGAUGCAGCGACGCCGCGUGAGGGAUGACGGCCUUCGGGUUGUAAACCUCUUUCAGUAGGGAAGAAGCGAAAGUGACGGUACCUGCAGAAGAAGCGCCGGCUAACUACGUGCCAGCAGCCGCGGUAAUACGUAGGGCGCAAGCGUUAUCCGGAAUUAUUGGGCGUAAAGAGCUCGUAGGCGGUUUGUCGCGUCUGCCGUGAAAGUCCGGGGCUCAACUCCGGAUCUGCGGUGGGUACGGGCAGACUAGAGUGAUGUAGGGGAGACUGGAAUUCCUGGUGUAGCGGUGAAAUGCGCAGAUAUCAGGAGGAACACCGAUGGCGAAGGCAGGUCUCUGGGCAUUAACUGACGCUGAGGAGCGAAAGCAUGGGGAGCGAACAGGAUUAGAUACCCUGGUAGUCCAUGCCGUAAACGUUGGGCACUAGGU
rnacentral:rRNA from 1 species